rnacentral:rRNA from 1 species
AGAUUAAGUUAUUAAGGGCGCACGGUGGAUGCCUUGGCACUAGAAGCCGAUGAAGGACGUUACUAACGACGAUAUGCUUUGGGGAGCUGUAAGUAAGCGUUGAUCCAGAGAUUUCCGAAUGGGGAAACCCAGCAUGAGUUAUGUCAUGUUAUCGAUAUGUGAAUACAUAGCAUAUCAGAAGGCAGACCCGGAGAACUGAAACAUCUUAGUACCCGGAGGAAGAGAAAGAAAAAUCGAUUCCCUGAGUAGCGGCGAGCGAAACGGGAAGAGCCCAAACCAACAAGCUUGCUUGUUGGGGUUGUAGGACACUCUAUACGGAGUUACAAAAGUAUAUAUUAGACGAAUCAUCUGGAAAGUUGAAUCAAAGAAGGUAAUAAUCCUGUAGUCGAAAAUAUAUACUCUCUUGAGUGGAUCCUGAGUACGACGGAGCACGUGAAAUUCCGUCGGAAUCUGGGAGGACCAUCUCCUAAGGCUAAAUACUCUCUAGUGACCGAUAGUGAACCAGUACCGUGAGGGAAAGGUGAAAAGUACCCCGGAAGGGGAGUGAAAGAGAACUUGAAACCGUGUGCUUACAAGUAGUCAGAGCCCGUUAAUGGGUGAUGGCGUGCCUUUUGUAGAAUGAACCGGCGAGUUACGAUUUGAUGCAAGGUUAAGCAGCUAAUGUGGAGCCGUAGCGAAAGCGAGUCUGAAUAGGGCGUUUAGUAUUUGGUCGUAGACCCGAAACCAGGUGAUCUACCCUUGGUCAGGUUGAAGUUCAGGUAACACUGAAUGGAGGACCGAACCGACUUACGUUGAAAAGUGAGCGGAUGAACUGAGGGUAGCGGAGAAAUUCCAAUCGAACUUGGAGAUAGCUGGUUCUCUCCGAAAUAGCUUUAGGGCUAGCCUCAAGUGA